rnacentral:lncRNA from 1 species
UUGAAUUUUUGAGACCUAUGUGUCUCUCCAACUGAGACUAAAGGUGAGUUUUCCACCAGUGAAUGAUGCUCUCUUGAUCUUCAGUUGAGGUAUUUUUUAACUUCACGAAUUUUCGAUACUAACGUCAGAGUUUAAUCGUGUGGAAGUUUCUAUAUGAAAGAUUUGAUUUUUCAAGUUGAAAGGUCACUCAUGGAGUCAUGGUUGAAGGUGCAAACUCAGGAUAUUCCUAAAAAAGAAAGAAAAAACACUAGCAGCAAGUCUAAAAGUUUGACCAAAG